CGCCUCGCCUGCAGCCGGCGCCUCCGGGUCCGCCGCAUCCGCGCCGGCGGCGCCCUCCGCCCUGACGCGCGCCGCUUCCCCCUCUGCCGGACGCCGUGCCCCACGGACCGAGCGACCUCCGGCCUCCGGGUCCGCUGAGGUCACGGCGGACGGAGGAGGCGAGCAGGAAGGGGAGAGGGAGAAGGGGGGGCCGCCGCGCGGGCCUCCGCCACCGCCUAGCCGGUGGGCCUACGCCGCCGCAGAUCCGCCCGAGGCCGGCCGAGUUCACAGGCGAGCAGAUUCGGCGAGGCCGAGGUUGGCCGAGCUCGACGCCGGCCAAGACCCCUGUGCCCCUCCUCCGGUGUCCCCCUGCGCUCCUCGCAGCCUCCGCGCUCCCUCCACCGCCUCCUCGCCGCGGCGGGGCAUGGCGGCCGCCACUGCGUGCUCCGGCCAGCGCCACUCGCCGGCACCAGCGACCUGCGAUGCCUCUCGCCCGCUCCGGCCGCCGCGCGCCCAUGCCCUUCGCCCGCGCGGGCUGCCGCGGCCACCCUUGCCCCCAUCGCCAAGCUCCCCAGCUACGGCGCCCGGCUCUAGAUCGACGGAGAUGGCCGGAUUUGGUGGGUCCGGCUCCCCAGCUACGGUGCCCAGCUCUAGAUCGACGGAGAUGGCCGGAUUGUCUCAGCAGCUUUUGAUGGCGGUGUAGGGAGCGUCCGCCGGUGCUCCUUCCCCAGCGGGCGGAGUCGCUGCCGCGGCCGGAGCGCACAGUUCGGAGGCGCGGCAGCUCAGGCCACCGCCAUGGCCAGCCUUGCAGCCCAUCGCGGUGGUGUUGGUGGUCAGCCCUUUGGAACCUGGAAUAUACAUUCCCAGUGAGUGCAAUGUACACCAUGGUACUGACUUAUGAUUUGCGUGAGAAGCAUUCGAGGUCUUGGAAUCGUAAGACGUAAGCUGACUAAGAAUGGAGAUCCCUUCUUUCUCAAUUCGAUUAUUUUGUAUCAAUUUUCCUUCUUUCUUCUUUCGUUCUGUACAAGAUUCAGGGAUUGGAGUAUGAGCGAGAGCAGGGAUCGUGGUUGGCCAUCACAAUUGAGCUGGGAGAAUGAUUGAAUCAUCUACUGGUUUCAGAUAGGGAGGGAAUGGUGAGCUGCCGCUGCAGAUAGGGGUCAAUGGACACUUGCUGCAGAUAGGGAAUUGUUUCAAACUUUGAAAGAAUGGGCAGAAACAAUCCAUCAUUGAAAGAAUGAGACCUGCACUAAAAUAUUCUUAAUUUUUGAAGUUUACUGGGUCCAAGAGCUAGCAGAACACGAGUUGUGACAUGGACCACAUGAAUAUGAGGAAGACAUUGACAAUUCACCCUUGGUUCAGGCUUGUGUGGCUACUCUUAUUGAGUUUAUCUCACCACUUUGUGCCGAAUUAUGGAAGGAAGAAAGGACAAAAGAAUGGCAUUCAGAGCAACAAUUGAGCAAGCACAACUGGUGAGCCAGAUACCAUUCUGAGUAUAAUUAUGUGAUGCUGCACUUAAAUAUGUUCAAUUUUUUUAACCCGUAGCGUUAGCACGGGCCAACUUACUAGUCCUUUUUAACGACCCCUUUGCACGUGUAAAAAGUAGUGCAAAGGUGAAACAGUAAGCAUACGUCUUUUACUGUGAGAAUACUUUCAGAAAAAAGAAUAA